rnacentral:lncRNA from 1 species
AAUCAAAUAAAUCUUAUUGUAUUACCUUUUGUUGAUCUGUAAUAAUUGUCCAACCAUCACCAUUGUCAGGAUGCAAGUUUUGCCUGUAGUAACUGCAUAAACCAUUCCUAUGUAACUCUCCUCUCAGAAUCAACCAAUGCCCAAGCAACAGGAACAUUUGGUUGUUCUCGUCUUUACCAACAACUGCUUAUAACUCUCUUUUGAUUACUCCUUUCAAAAAACACCCAUCUAAACC